rnacentral:lncRNA from 1 species
ACAUAAAUAUCCUUUGUCCUAACAAAAGGUUGUUCUUGAAAAAAGAUUUACAAUUCCUGCCAUAGUAUCCAUUUUGUUCAGCUAUUUGCUGUAAUGGUUUUUUCUAAGGGCGAUCUAAUGUUCUUAUCUUUUGUUUCAUCAGGUUCUCAUGCACCAAAAGAAGCAACAAAAGAUGGAUACAUUUCUCUCAGGUACUCUGGAUGAAUAAAUUUCUCUCAGGUUGUCAAUGCUAGAUGACCAUGACACCAAAAGAUGGAUACAUUUGUAUGCAUUAUCUUCGUUGGAAAAUGAUGUUGUGGCUGUGAUGAACUGUUUGCUGCAAAAG